GCCUUUCCUCUCCGGAGAAACCUCAUGCGGCACUUCCCUGGAGCAAUCAUCCCCAGGAGAAACACGGUCUUCAACUACCGCCUCGCCCGAACCAGGCUGACUAUGGAGUGCACCUUCGGCAUUCUUGCGUCCCACUGGCAGAUGUUCCGGUUAUAUCAGCUGUGUCAGUGAACCCCUCCCACUUCUGAACUGCCUGAAACAGAUGCACAUCUUUAUCAGAGGUAUUGUCUGUGAGAGAGGAUGCCAAUCCCUAGUCCCGUCAUCGUCACCUCAUCCGCUCAAAGACAACCCAACUGGGGGCCCAAGGCUGGUUAGGAGACACCGGUAGAGAUACUAUUAUGUAA